rnacentral:rRNA from 1 species
UGGGGAAUAUUGCACAAUGGGCGCAAGCCUGAUGCAGCCAUGCCGCGUGUGUGAAGAAGGCCUUCGGGUUGUAAGGCACUUUCAGCGAGGAGGAAGGGUAGUGUGUUAAUAGCACAUUGCAUUGACGUUACUCGCAGAAGAAGCACCGGCUAACUCCGUGCCAGCAGCCGCGGUAAUACGGAGGGUGCAAGCGUUAAUCGGAAUUACUGGGCGUAAAGCGCACGCAGGCGGUUUGUUAAGUCAGAUGUGAAAUCCCCGCGCUUAACGUGGGAACUGCAUUUGAAACUGGCAAGCUAGAGUCUUGUAGAGGGGGGUAGAAUUCCAGGUGUAGCGGUGAAAUGCGUAGAGAUCUGGAGGAAUACCGGUGGCGAAGGCGGCCCCCUGGACAAAGACUGACGCUCAGGUGCGAAAGCGUGGGGAGCAAACA